GCUAUGGAAAUGGUAAUAAUUUUUGCUUAUUCUUUUCCUUCCUCUUGCCUUAACCUUGGCAGGGGGUGGGGGCCGUGACUGGCAUCCAGGACAAACAAUAGACAAUGAUAAAGAAUGUUUGUAAAAAUAAAGAACUCAAGGCAGGUGGCAAAAGUCUCUGGGGUACAGAGGGGAGCAUAGGACAGAAGGGUGAGAACCAUGAGUAAAGGCAAUAUAUACGUCAAGUGAGAGGGGUCCCUCUUUCUUGACCCUUUUGUGGAGCAGUGGGUGUCAGCACUCAUUUUAUUGCAGGAGGUGGGGAGGGGCUAUACUAUGCAGCUUUUUCAUUGAUGUGUUUUCUUUUGGAGGGGCCUGGACAGUAUUAAGGCAAUGAAGAGGGUUAGAUUCCAGAAGAAUGGACACGGAAUUGUAAACAGGAGGCGGGAGGCUCGCUGAAGAUCAGAUCAGGAGACAGGAGUCUGGGAGGGUGAUUCCACAGCCUGGAGAAGAACCCUGGAUUAAGUGCUGCGCCUGCAGAGAGAGGCGUCAAUGGCUGGACCCCUCCCAGCCCUGAACUUAACGCAGUCUUCCAGAUACGGCUU